GAAAUGCGAUACGUAAUGUGAAUUGCAGAAUUCAGUGAAUCAUCGAGUCUUUGAACGCACAUUGCGCCCCCUGGUAUUCCGGGGGGCAUGCCUGUCCGAGCGUCAUUGCUGCCCUCAAGCACGGCUUGUGUGUUGGGCCCCCGUCCCCCCCCCAAGGGGACGGGCCCGAAAGGCAGCGGCGGCACCGUGUCCGGUCCUCGAGCGUAUGGGAAGCAACUUUUGUCACCCGCUCCUGUAGGUCCGGCCGGCGGCCUGCCCAACCCCAACCCUUUUUUCAACCAGGUUGACCUCGGAUCAGGUAGGGAUACCCGCUGAACUUAAGC
rnacentral:misc_RNA from 1 species